AGCGCUCAGAGGAAAAAAUGGCUGAGACGAACGAAAGUAUAAACACUUGUGAAACAGCGCCGUUAUUACAAGAACAGAACGAGGAAUCGAUUGAACCACCUCCUGCUAAUGAAGCGGGUAAGUUUAGCCAGCAAACGAAGCUUUACGAAGACUCUCACGUAGCUAUAUGCCUGAAGAUUAAUGUUUUAUUGACUGUGGCGUAGCGAUAAUAUACAUGGAAUUUUUCAAACGAUAACAUUGUUAUUCAUUCGGCAUAUAGCAUCUUGACUUCUUAAUAUAUAUUCUCUGACAUCUAAAGGUUCGUGGCGGUCUUAAAAUAAAGCUUUUUGUAUUCAAUUCUCGCAACUGCUUAAGUUAAAAAACUCUUCAUAUAUUUUUAGAAACUAGCUGUUGAAAUCAUGAGACGAUUAUAGACGAAUAACUCAAUGUUUUCAUGACGAAUGGAAAC